rnacentral:lncRNA from 1 species
GGUUAAAUAGGUAAUAUUAAGACUAUUACUUAGGGGUGGGCACAGUCCAGUUCUCACCCCAAAUCGGGACCGAAACUUGCACUAUUUGUUUAGUUUGAUUUUGAUGAAAAAAUAUUCGACCCAGUGCGGUCCGAUUUGCCCAUAAGCCGGUACAAUUUCCCAUUUUUCUAGUUUUGGACCAGAAUCUUUUCUUUUUUUUUUUUGAAAUUUUGAAAUCUUUUUUUUACA